AGCUCUGUAAGCGUAUACCAAAGUUGUUGCAGUUAAAACGCUCGUAGUCGGAACUUGGCAGUUCCGGAUGUGUGCACGUCGUGUGCGCACUUUGCGGGGAUUGCUUUUGUGGUCUUGCGUAGGAUGAGGCACUUUUAUUAGUGAACGUCCUCACGCAACCACUCUUUACUGUGAGAAAAUCAGAGUGCUCAAAGCAGGCAUUUGCCGUGAAUGUAUUAGCAUGGAAUAAUAGAAUAGGACUCGGUUCUAUUUUGUUGGUUUGUUGGGACUGAGUAAUGAUUAAGAGGGACAGUUGGGGGCAUUUGUAUUUCGGCGCUAGAGGUGAAAUUCUUAGAUUGCCGAAAGACAAACUGCUGCGAAAGCGUCUGCCAAGGAUGUUU
rnacentral:rRNA from 1 species